rnacentral:lncRNA from 1 species
GAGAGAGAGAGAGAGCGUGGUUCUCUUCUUUCUCCUCCCAAAUCAACAAAUCUUACUGAAGCGUAUGUCUCUAACGAGGAAGCUUCAUCGCUUCUAGGGUUUCCAGAGGAAUGACUGGAGAAAGGAGAUGACUUUAUAAAAAUCCUGCUUUGUUGUGAUUUCUUCUUCUUCUUCUUCUUCUUCUUCUUCUAUGCCAACAGCAGUUGGAGCCCAAAAAGCUCUUCUUAGGUCCAAGUUUCUCUUUUUUUUUUUUUUUUUUUUUUUUUUUUUUUCUUUUUUGGCAAAGUCUCUAAUCUUAG